rfam:Schistosoma rodhaini strain Burundi genome assembly, scaffold: SROB_scaffold0003229
AGCUUUUUGGAUCCGUACAGAGAUUUCGUCAGACACCAACCCCAAUAAAGCUGAUCAGACUUCCAAGAUAAGUGAAGUU